rnacentral:tRNA from 1 species
GGAGUUGUGGCUCAUCGGUAGAGCGCUUGCCUAGCACGUGGGAGGCCCUGGGUUCAAACCUCAGCACCA